rnacentral:rRNA from 1 species
CCUACGGGUGGCAGCAGUGGGGAAUAUUGCGCAAUGGGCGAAACCCUGAUGCAGCGACGCCGCGUGAGCGAUGAAGGUUUUCGGUUUGUAAACCUCUAUCAGCAGGGAAGAAAAUGACGGUACCUGACCAAUAAGCCCCGGCUAACUCCGUGCCAGCAGCCGCGGUAAUACGUAGGGGGCAAGCGUUAUCCGGAUUUACUGGGGGUAAAGGGAGCGUAGACGGUACGGCAAGCCAGAUGUGAAAGCCUAGGGCUCAACCGCGGGACUGCAUUUGAAACUGUAAGUCUAGAGUGUGGGAGAGGCAGGCGGAAUUCCUGGUGUAGCGGUGAAAUGCGUAGAUAUCAGGAGGAACACCAGUGGCGAAGGCGACCUGCUGGAAGAUGACUGACGUUGAGGCGCGAAAGCGUGGGGAGCAAACAGGAUUAGAUACCCUAGUAGUC